CCAAGGCUCUUUAGACAUCCAGGCGUGUUCACUUGGGAGUAUUAGCAUUUGAGACUGAGAUUCCCUUUAUUCUGCAAGGCUGCCUGGGGUCUGUGAAGUGUGUAAUGCAGCAGUGGGCUGAGAGACACUGUCAUUAAUAUGGGCGUCCAAUUUGUGGCCAAGGCAUGAGUAAGUUCAUUGCUGACUUCCCUCAGUAUUUAGAAACAUUUGUCAUUGUUCCUUUCUUUUGGACC